rnacentral:rRNA from 1 species
CCUACGGGUGGCAGCAGUGAGGAAUAUUGGUCAAUGGACGAGAGUCUGAACCAGCCAAGUAGCGUGCAGGAUGACUGCCCUAUGGGUUGUAAACUUCUUUUAUAGGGAAAUAAAACGUUACACGUGUGGGAUUUUGUAUUUACCAUAUGAAUAAGGAUCGCCUAACUCCGUGCCAGCAGUCGAGCUAAGCAGGUAGAUCCGAGCGUUAUCCUGUCUUGUUGGGUUGAAAGGGGAUGUUGGGGGGUUGGUAAGUCAGUUGUGAAAGUCCGGGGCUUAACUCUAACAUCGCAGUUGAAACUGGCAGUCUUGAGUAAAGUAGAGGUAGGCGGAAUUCGAGGUGUAGCGGUGAAAUGCGUAGAUAUCACGAAGAACUCCGAAGGCGAAGGCAGCUUACUGGAUUGAAACUGACACUGAGGCACGAAAGUGUGGGUAUCAAACAGGAUUAGAUACCCUAGUAGUC